CCUACGGGAGGCUGCAGUGGGGAAUAUUGGUCAAUGGGGGCAACCCUGAUCCAGCCAUGCCGCGUGUGUGAAGAAGGCCCUCGGGUUGUAAAGCACUUUCAGUGAGGAAGAACGCCUGGUGGUUAAUACCCAUCAGGAAAGACAUCACUCACAGAAGAAGCACCGGCUAACUCCGUGCCAGCAGCCGCGGUAAUACGGAGGGUGCGAGCGUUAAUCGGAAUUACUGGGCGUAAAGCGCGCGUAGGUGGCUUGAUAAGCCGGUUGUGAAAGCCCCGGGCUCAACCUGGGAACGGCAUCCGGAACUGUCAAGCUAGAGUGCAGGAGAGGAAGGUAGAAUUCCCGGUGUAGCGGUGAAAUGCGUAGAGAUCGGGAGGAAUACCAGUGGCGAAGGCGGCCUUCUGGACUGACACUGACACUGAGGUGCGAAAGCGUGGGUAGCAAACAGGAUUAGAUACCCUGGUAGUC
rnacentral:rRNA from 1 species